CUUCACAAACUGAUUGUUUCUUGCUGUCUCUGUCUCUCUUUCUCGGUCUUGCGUUCCGGCGAUUGACCCUAGCUCCACCAAGACCGACCUUCAGGCUGAGCUAGAUCAAGCCUGCAAAGAUUGAGGUGCGUUUCACAUGACGAACCAUGGUGUUUCGAUCCAAUUGUUGAACGAGAUGAGGAGAGUCGGUGUGUUGUUCUUCGAGGAGAGUCCAAUGGCUAAGAAAAUCAGGUACUCUUGCGAUUCCAAUUCGUUUGCUUCUGAAGGCUAUGGAAGCCGUAUGUUGGUUUUAUCUGAUGAUACAGUGUUGGAAUGGACAAAUUAGUUCGAUCAUCAUACUUCGCCUCUUUCUCACCGGAAUCUUGAUCGCUGGCCUCACUUUCCUUCUAAUUAUAGGUGCUGCUGGUGGAAGGAACGUGAGUGCUCGUAAGGAAAAUGGCUGCUAGUGGGGAGAGACAUUGUUUUCUGCAUUAAGCAGAGCAGGUGGCAAGGCUUUCAGUAACAUGGUUGUUGGAUACAACAAUGUUAAUGUCAAUGCUGCCACUAAGUAUGGUGUUGCUGUUGGCAACACACUUAUUUGUCAAGAACUUACUUAAAGGGCAAACUGUUGGCGUGAUUGGAGCUGGUCGAAUUGCAUUAUCUUGCAAAAGAGAAAGAGGAUUCUCUUGCAGUGGAUUCUCUCUGCAGCAACUUUAGCUUCUUUCUGAAUAUUUUAAUUUGGCAACUUAAAGUACUUGUAAUUUGAUUGAUUGAUUGAUAUUUUAGUCAAAUUGAGAGUCGUGUUUGAAUAGCUGAGUUCAUGGGAGUGAGUAAUUUAAUUUGGACAAGGAAUUUAUAUCUUCUUGCAGGUUAAACUUGGUGGUCAUGCAACCUUGGCAGCUGCACACUUUCAAUUCACUUCUGGUUUGGUAAAUGCCGAUAAAUUGAGUUUCUGACACUAUCGGGAGUUUUGACUGCUAAAAGAGUUCCAGAAGCCCAAAAAAAGGGCAAAUAAGAAGAUUGCUAUUUAAUUGAGUUGGAUUUUCUAGUAGUUCCACUUACUCAAUUUGACUCUGUUGAGGUUCCAUCUAUUUCUAAAGCAUUGAGUGGUGCUUUUGUGAUUGAAUUAAAGAAGACAACUACUGCAGAAGAUCUCUUUGUGAUGCUCCCAUCGGGAAAGGCUGUUGCAGAUCUACAGCCAGAAUUUGAUGAAAUACAGCAAUGUCCUAGAAGGGGAUUAAUUAUUAUAGCG